UGUAUGGCUUAGAACAGGGAUCCCCAACCUCUGCGCAGCAGGCCCAGGCCCUGUUAGGAACUGGCUUGUUAGGAACUGGGUCACACAGCAGGAGAGGAGCAGCAGUGUUCUAUUCUGAGAUCACCCCGCUGUAUUAGUCAGCUAGAGCUGCCAUAACAGAUUACCACAGACUGAGCGACUUAAACAACACAAAUCUGGAGGCCAGAAGCCUAAGAUCAAGGUGUUGGCAAGACUGACAAUAAGCAAUACAAAGGCUCAAAUAAAUUGUUUCUCAUCUCUUUGGAAUCAUGUGGAGCAAAUAGGUGCAAAAAAGGAAAAGGAAAAACAGUCAAAAAAGAGCACAGUGGAAAGAACACCAGAUUUGACAUGAAGAUACCUAUGCAUGAGGCCAAGACCACUAACACAUACUCCUGUGGAUGAUCAUCUAAAAGCAAAUGUUCAAUAUUUUCUACAUCGUCUUAGAUGCUGGCUGGUAAGGGCUUAAAUUACACUAGCAAACAAAUACAACCAGGAGAGUACGGUGUCUGUGAAACUAAAACCAAUUCCCAUUAUGGAAAACCAUUUUUUAUAUGUCUGCUUCCCUGCUUUAGUAAACAGAACACAGAGAACAUAAUUGAAUAUUUGAUGAUUGAAAAUCUUGCAGUGUCUGUGACUUCUCAUGCUGAACAUCAGUUCUCAUCACACAGGCCUGUAGGUGUACUUGUGGGAUGGCAACGGAUUACACAGAAUCUUUAAUGGCCUUGAGAAGUACUCAUAAGGCUUCUUUUUCUUCAUCUUUAUCCUUUAAGAAAUAAAUAAAUAUUGAUA